rnacentral:ncRNA from 1 species
UGCUAAGGCUAUAGUUGCAGUACCGUCCUGCCUAAGUGAAGCAGUUUCCGAAGAAAAUCGAGUGGUAUUUUCGAUUUUUGCUUUGUAUGUAGCACCUCGGGGGUCGCAACCCCGUUACAACAAUAGCGAUAGUGCUACGCUUCAUGGCAACAAAGUAAAUGCAGGGGCUUCGGGUAAACAAAACGGGCAACAGCCAUUCGUGAAACCACCGCGAGUGGCUUUUG